ACUUCUUUCCCGCAUCGUCAAAACUAAAUUUGAUCAAGAUUGCAACUUUCAUUAACAUUGAAUUGUGGCAGAAACACAGAUCAUAUGUGAAAUCUCCAGAAGCUGGUACAAUAACUUGAAUAAGUCACAUGGAGGGGACAGAGACUAGAGAAUUAUUGUGUGACACACCAUAUACAUUGGACAUUGCCUUAACUUUAAAUGUACAGAAAUGUUUCAAAUUAUUAAAUGAAUGAAGUAAUGUGGAGGUAUAUGUAUGUAUUGAAAAAAAACCAGGAAAAUUUAAUAAUGCCAAGACAGAAAAUAAAAGCUGCUGUGAAUUUAAGGACAUUGCCAGAAAACAAAGAUUUUCAAAUCAACAAGGAAAGGAAAAAAAAUGAAAAACAGUGUCAACCAAUAUACACCUGUCCAGUUUUAUCUGACUCAACUGGGAAAAUUAUGAUAAAAUUCCAUGCAAAACCUGGCGCUAAAGAAAAUAUGAUUACAAGUA